rnacentral:rRNA from 1 species
UCUUCCUGCCGGGUUUUGAUAAUAUCAGGACUUCGGAGAGCGGAGAGAAGGGUGAGAGCUGGACGCGACGUUUUGCUGGUUGGAGUGCUUCUGAACCCCGCCCAUGCCUUUCGCAAGAAAGGAAGGGAUUUUUCAAUUCAUCGGCCUCAGAUUGGUAGGACUACCCGCUGAACUUAAGCAUAUCAAUAAGCGGAGGAAAAGAAACUAACAAGGAUUCCCCUAGUAACGGCGAGUGAAGAGGGAAGAGCCCAAGAUUGAAAGCUGGCGUCUUCGGCGUCCGCAUUGUAAUCUCAAGAAGUGUUUUCCGCUUCGGACCAUGCCUAAGUCCCUUGGAAAAGGGCAUCAUAGAGGGUGAUAAUCCCGUACAUGGCAUGGAGCGCCCGAAGCUUUGUGAUACGCUUUCUAAGAGUCGAGUUGUUUGGGAAUGCAGCUCAAAAUGGGUGGUAAAUGCCAUCUAAGGCUAAAUAUUGGGGAGAGACCGAUAGCGAACAAGUACAGUGAUGGAAAGAUGAAAAGAACUUUGAAAAGAGAGUUAAACAGUACGUGAAAUUGCCAAAAGGGAAGGGUAGGAGGUCAGAGAUGCGGCCUGGGAUUCAGCCUUGCUUUUGCUUGGUGUUUUUCCCAGAUUGCAGGCCAACGUCGGUUUUGGGCACUGGAGAAGGGUAGGAGGAACGUGGCACCUCUCGGGGUGUGUUAUAGCCUCCUACUGGAUACAGCGACCGAGACCGAGGACAGCAGCGUACUCGCAAGAGCGGGCCUUCGGGCACC